AGUCUCCCCUGCUUCUGUUUUCUUGGAUAGGAAAGGCUUCCGAAACAGGGAAGUUCGAUUUUUUCAUUUUAAAUUCUGACACCAAGAAGUGGUGAAUCCGCCAACCAGGAAUGCGCGUCGGGCCUCGAUGCGGCAGCCUGACUGGAAGCGGUCGCAGCUUGCGGCAUCGUAGAAAUUGCUGGUCCUGAAGCGCCUUGCGGGCGUUGACCCGAUUUUCCCCUGGCUCCUUCCUUCGACUAGGAAAGAGGGCUACCUUAUAAUAAUAGGAAGAGCCCCGCGCCACCAAUGCGGAGCCGCCUUACACUGAGGCCGCCAACGAGAUUUUUGGCGUCGCAGUGGCCUGCAGGGUCAGCGUUAGCGUCCCUCCCUCCUUUCUUCUACCUGUACCUUCUCCGAUGCUAGCUAAAGGCAGUCAUUACUCUAUAGGAAAGUUAACAGGGGACUAAAGAGGACAACCACAAAGUGCAAUGUGUGAUCUUGAAUUGGAUCCUGGAAGAGGGGUUCAAAAUUGCUGUAAAGGAUAUUCUGGGGGCAAUUGAUGAAAUUCUAAUAUAAACAAUAUGUUAGGCAUAGGAAAAAUUGACUUUGGAAAAUGGCAGAGCGAGGAUUUCAACCCAAGGAGUCUGUCCCCAACCUUAAGAGUCUGAGCUCUGGACUUCCCUGGUGGUGCAGUGGAUGAGAAUCCGCCUGCCAAUGCAGAGGACACGGGUUCGAGCCCUGGUCUGCAAAGAUCCCACAUGCCGCGGAGCAACUAAGCCCAUGUGCCACAACUACUGAAGUGCGCGCGCCUAGAGCCCGUGCUCCGCAACAAGAGAAGCCACCGCAGUGAGAAGCACGGGCACCUCAACGAAGAGUAGCCCCCGCUCACCGCAACUAGAGAAAGCCCGCGCAGAGCAACAAAGACCCAAUGCAACCAAAAAUAAAUAAAAUUAAAAAAAAAAAAAAGGAGUCUGAGCUCUUAACGAUUUUUCUUGAUUUCGUAAGUUGAGAAAAAAGAAAGAGCAAAAAUAGAUGAGAAGACAUACAGGAGGAAUAUAGUACGUUAAUGAGUUUGAAUGAGUGCAGAUACACAGAAGCAAGGUCAAUAAUUCACAGAUUCAAUUUUAGCUUUAUCUUUUUUUAAGCAUAAGAAAAAUAGGGGAGGUAUAAUUUCUUUAAUAGUUUUCUGUUUAAAGGAAGCAAAAAUUCAGUCCAGAGACCUGCCUUUCUCUCUUACCCACUACCAGAUGUUCAUAAAGACCUAUUAAGUAAGAUUUGAUUUUCUACCAAAGCCAAACUGAGA